rnacentral:rRNA from 1 species
GCAGGCUGCAACUCGCCUGCGUCAAGUUGGAAUUGCUAGUAAUCGCGGAUCAGCAUGCCGCGGUGAAUACGUUCCCGGGCCUUGUACACACCGCCCGUCACACCAUGAGAGUCGGGAACACCCGAAGUCCGUAGUCUAACCGNAAGGAGGGCGCGGCCGAAGGUGGGUUCGAUAAUUGGGGCUAAGUCGUAACAAGGUAAC